GUGGGGAAUAUUGCACAAUGGGGGAAACCCUGAUGCAGCGACGCCGCGUGAGUGAUGAAGUAUUUCGGUAUGUAAAGCUCUAUCAGCAGGGAAGAUAAUGACGGUACCUGACUAAGAAGCACCGGCUAAAUACGUGCCAGCAGCCGCGGUAAUACGUAUGGUGCAAGCGUUAUCCGGAUUUACUGGGUGUAAAGGGUGCGUAGGUGGCAAGGCAAGUCUGAAGUGAAAAUCCGGGGCUCAACCCCGGAACUGCUUUGGAAACUGUUUAGCUGGAGUACAGGAGAGGUAAGUGGAAUUCCUAGUGUAGCGGUGAAAUGCGUAGAUAUUAGGAGGAACACCAGUGGCGAAGGCGACUUACUGGACUGCUACUGACACUGAGGCACGAAAGCGUGGGGAGCAAACAGGAUUAGAUACCCGUGUAGUCC
rnacentral:rRNA from 1 species